rnacentral:lncRNA from 1 species
CUUUGUAUGUUGUUGUCCUUUUCUAUUUGACAGCUUAAUCUGUGUGUGCUACCCAGGGAGGUCAGUGGGACAUUGGAAGUGAAACUGUUUCUCCUGUGUGUGCUGGCGCAUGCAGUGCUGCAAGGAGCCUCUGGGAGUUCCGGCGGGAAGAGACCAGCCUCCAUUUGGAGACCUUUGCUACAGGUGAAGACCUUCAAACAAGUCAAGCAGAUAUAUCAGGAGCUCAUCAGUUUUACAUCAAGAAAUAAGUUUCCUUUUAAUUUCUGCAUUUGGAACUUGGAGUGGCCCCAAGUCAUGGAAGCACUUUUGGAUGUCUGCAGCAACAAGAGGAGAGUGAGGUUUGUGUAUGCUGAAUUUCUGUUUAUCAGCAUUAAAGUUCUCUUCAUUUGAUCAUCCAGAACUCACUCGUGCACGUAAGGGACAAACACUGGUGAAUGAGGACAAAAAAGACCCCAAGAACUUUGUUAAAUUUGUCAGUGCUAUUUUGGGAUUUUGAAUAUACUAUGAUUUUAUAAGAAAGACAAGAUUUUUGAAUGCGGUGAUGAUGUGUGCCCUCUGUCCUUUAUACUGACAAGAUUAACUGAACUUUGUGUAGAAGGUUGAUUUGGGGGAAAAAAAAAUAGUAGCAAUGGAAACAGUAUUUUCCACAGUUUAAGAUUAAACUUAGGUCCCUCUAAAGGUCUUCCAACUUCUGCAAUUUUAAAAUAACUUUUUCAAGGUCUUAAAGAUUGAAGGUUCUGUAAAUAAAUUUUCCUUAAUUCAUCCAAGAAGAAUAGCAGACUUUUCUUGUUAAUCCCUCAUUGAUUUUUCUCUGAAGGCAGGGCUCUGAACUAGACCAAAGUUCAUAAUCUUAAAAUUAGUGGAGGAAAACUCAAACUGAUUUCUAUUUUACCAUUUGUAUAGUCAGCAUUUUACCCCAUAAUAUCUGUUCUAUGUGCUUGGAAGUAAGACCACCAAGCAAGGGGAGGCCCACAGGGCCCCCUCUGUAUGCCAUUCCCUUUCUCUCUGCUUCUCAUGUCAUUAAAUUCACUUCAUUUCUUCUGUCUGCCAGCAAGGCCAUCUUGAAAAACUGAGGAUAUUGUAUUGAAACCUUGGCAGAGCAGAAAAACUGACAACUGUACAGUAAUUUCGAAUGGGAGGGCAAAAAUCCUGAAAUACUUAUCUCUUCAACGUUUCCUUUUGUUACAUUUACCUUGGGACUGCAUGAAACAAUGCAAGCUGUGAUAACCAUGGGAAAAAAAAUGCAGUAUUUCUUUUACGUGUUAUAUAAGAAGUACAGUUGUACACAGUGAGGGCAUAAGGACUUCAUAGGAGCUUUUUGCAUAAUCUUUAGUGUGCACUGAUGCCCUUAAAUGGGGUGGUGGUGGUGAUUCAUGUACGGAAGUGCAAGGUGCCCUAAGCUUUUGGUGGUGCAUUUCAAUCCACGCACUAUGCAGCCUUGAAUGCUGUAAAUUCUAGUAAAUCAGUUUGUUCUGCAUCUUUCUGCCUCUUUUUUCCCUUUGUUGGAGGGCUGCCUUGCUAACCAGAAACAUAUGAUAGGAAGCAGCCACAUGUUCUAGUGAAAAGGGCACUUUCUAGGUCUGAAGGUUUUCUAUUUGCCCUAGAUUUUUUUCAUUGAUGCAGCUGUAACAAUUGGUGUCAAUGAUAUGAAUAAUUGAUCAAGGAGUUCUUGUUGCCUCAAGUAAUAUUCUGCUUAUUGCUUCUCAGAACUGUUGCUGUUUGUUAUACUACAGCAUUGCUGGUUUUUCCUUCGUUCUUUGCUCCCACCCCUUUGUUCUCUGCCUCUCCUGUAGGAGCAUGUUGUUUUUCCUUCAGUGUAUUCCAUAUGUUACUGGGAAACGGGUUCUCCCUUUUAAUCAACAACAACAUAUUUCAAAAUAAUCCAUGGUCCUGGGAACUGUGGAGUAUACACAUCUGGUUUCCCAUAAACAUGAAUUGCUGGCUUUACAAAUGCGAAACAUGUAGUCCUGGCCACAGAGUUAGCUCAAGUGUUCCGUAACUUGAGCCUGUAUUCGAAAUAAAAACAAAAUUGUAUAGCUUCUUUACCAUACUAAUAGAAAACAUUUAAUUUGCUUCUUGAAG